rnacentral:rRNA from 1 species
AUGGUUAAGAUUCUCGCUUUGUACAAUAAGGAUGUCGCGGGAGUUGUUCUAGAAAAUGCUCCAGGUAAUGCAAAGUAUACAUCCGGAGAUGUUCAGAAAGAGAUUGUUGGCAUACUUGCUCUAGAAGUGCAGAAAGCAAUUAGAGAAGAAAUAGGUAAUGCGAAGUUCUGCAUAAUGGUUGAUGAAGCUCGGGAUGAAUCAAGAAAAGAACAAAUGGCAGUUGUUCUUCGGUUUGCCAACAAAGAAGCAGAAAUAAUUGAGCGUUUCCUUGAUCUAGUUCAUGUUAAUGACACUGCUGCCUUAACUUUGAAAAAUGCAAUAUGUAUUGUACUGUCAAAUAAUAACUUGAAUGUACAAGACAUCAGGGGCCAAGCAUAUGACGGUGCAAGUAAUAUGAGAGGGGAGUGGAAUGGACUGAAGGCUCUUAUUCUCCGUGAGUGUCCAUAUGCCUACUAUAUUCAUUGUAUGGCUCAUCAAUUACAAUUGGCGCUUGUUGCUGCAUCACGAGAGGUACAUGAGGUACAUAACUUCUUUCAGAAUGCAAAUUUUGUAAUAAAUGUUGUUAGUGCUUCUACAAAGCGCAGCGAUGAGCUACUAGCAAACCAAGCGGAGGAAAUUGCUCGUGAAAUUGAGUUGGGAGAGCUUGAUACAGGCAGAGGGCAAAACCAAAUAGGAACCUUACAGAGACCAGGAGACACAAGAUGGAGUUCACACUAUAAGUCCAUACAGAGCUUAAAGAAGAUGUUUGCUGCUACAGUUGCCGUCUUAAGAGGUAUAGCAAGUGAUUGUUCAGUCUCAAAAUAUUCUCGUGGAGAUGCCGUUGGAUCCCUUAAAAUUGUCAUAUCAUUUGAUUCCGUGUUCAUUCUACAUCUGAUGGAAAAGAUUAUGAAGAUCACUGAUGUGUUGUGUCAGAAACUCCAAUACAAAUCUUUGGAUAUUUUAAAUGCCAUAGAUUCUGUUUCUAACACAAAGGUCCUACUUGGUGAGCUAAGGGAACAUGGUUGGGACUCUCUUUUAGAGGAGGUCAAAUCUUUUUGUGUGAAGCACGAGAUUGAUAUCCCAGAUUUGGACCGCAAGUAUGUUGAUGUUACCAAAUCUCGAAAUAAGCAUGACAACACAACAACGCUCCACCACUACAAAGUCGAUGUUUUCAGUGUUGCAAUUGAUCAACAACUGAGUGAACUGAAUGAUCGAUUCAGUACACAAGCAACUGAGCUCCUUACUCUCCGUUCAUCAUUGGAUCCAAGGCAUGAAUCUUUUGAUAUCCCAAAGAUAAGCACUCUUGCAGAAAAAUUCUAUCCUGCUGAUUUUUCAAGUCAAGAAUUAGCUCAGUUAGAAAGUCAGCUACCUCAUUUUCAGCUAGAUGUGUGCAACCAUCCAGAACUGAUGACUUUGCCAUCUAUUGCUUGUUUAACAAAAGGGCUAGUUAAAACCGGAAAAGCUUCUUCAUAUCCAAUGGUUGAUAGGUUGCUACGACUAGUUAUCACUCUCCCAGUCUCAACGGCAACUGCAGAGCGGGCUUUUUCAGCUAUGAAAAUAUUCAAGACACGUCUUCGAAGUAAAAUGGGAGAUGAUUUGCUUCGCCAUUGCAUGAUAAUUUACAUAGAAAAAAAAAUAGCAGCUAAGAUAUCUUCUGAUGAAAUUAUUAACAUUUUUGAUCUUAUUAGCAGUCGUAGAGGCCACUUUAAAUUAAUAGAAAUGUAA